UCCGAUUGCGAAGGCAGCUUGCUGGACUGUAACUGACGCUGAGGCACGAAAGCGUGGGGAUCAAACAGGAUNNGAUACCCUGGUAGNCCACGCCGUAAACGAUGAAUGCUAGCUGUUAGCGAUAUACUGUUAGCGGCACAGAGAAAUCGUUAAGCAUUCCACCUGGGGAGUACGCCGGCAACGGUGAAACUCAAAGGAAUUGACGGGGGCCCGCACAAGCGGAGGAACAUGUGGUUUAAUUCGAUGAUACGCGAGGAACCUUACCUGGGCUUAAAUUGCAGUGGAAUAACGUGGAAACAUGUUAGCCUUCGGGCCGCUGUGAAGGUGCUGCAUGGUUGUCGUCAGCUCGUGCCGUGAGGUGUCGGCUUAAGUGCCAUAACGAGCGCAACCCUCAUCGAUAGUUACUAACAGGUUAAGCUGAGGACUCUAUCGAGACUGCCGACGUAAGUCGUGAGGAAGGUGGGGAUGACGUCAAAUCAGCACGGCCCUUACGUCCAGGGCUACACACGUGUUACAAUGGGGGGUACAAAGGGCAGCUACCUGGCGACAGGAUGCUAAUCUCAAAAACCUCUCUCAGUUCGGAUUGGAGUCUGCAACCCGACUCCAUGAAGCUGGAUUCGCUAGUAAUCGCGCAUCAGCCACGGCGCGGUGAAUACGUUCCCGGGCCUUGUACACACCGCCCGUCAAGCCAUGGGAGCCGGGGGGACCUGAAGUAUGCAACCGUAAGGAGCGUCCUAGGGUAAAACUGGUGACUGGGGCU
rnacentral:rRNA from 1 species